rnacentral:rRNA from 1 species
GAUGAACGCUGGCGGCGUGCCUAAUACAUGCAAGUCGAGCGAACGGACGAGAAGCUUGCUUCUCUGAUGUUAGCGGCGGACGGGUGAGUAACACGUGGAUAACCUACCUAUAAGACUGGGAUAAUUUCGGGAAACCGGAGCUAAUACCGGCUAAUAUUUUGAACCGCAUGGUUCAAAAGUGAAAGACGGUCUUGCUGUCACUUAUAGAUGGAUCCGCGCUGCAUUAGCUAGUUGGUAAGGUAACGGCUUACCAAGGCAACGAUGCAUAGCCGACCUGAGAGGGUGAUCAGCCACACUGGAACUGAGACACGGUCCAGACUCCUACGGGAGGCAGCAGUAGGGAAUCUUCCGCAAUGGGCGAAAGCCUGACGGAGCAACGCCGCGUGAGUGAUGAAGGUCUUCGGAUCGUAAAACUCUGUUAUUAGGGAAGAACAGAUGUGUAAGUAACUGUGCACAUCUUGACGGUACCUAAUCAGAAAGCCACGGCUAACUACGUG